GACGAACGCUGGCGGCGUGCUUAACACAUGCAAGUCGAACGCUGAAGCUCAGCUUUUGUUGGGUGGAUGAGUGGCGAACGGGUGAGUAACACGUGAGUAACCUGCCUCCUUCUUUGGGAUAACGCCCGGAAACGGGUGCUAAUACUGGAUAUUCACUGGUCUUCGCAUGGGGGUUGGUGGAAAGGGUUUUUCUGGUGGGGGAUGGGCUCGCGGCCUAUCAGCUUGUUGGUGGGGUGAUGGCCUACCAAGGCUUUGACGGGUAGCCGGCCUGAGAGGGUGACCGGUCACAUUGGGACUGAGAUACGGCCCAGACUCCUACGGGAGGCAGCAGUGGGGAAUAUUGCACAAUGGGCGCAAGCCUGAUGCAGCGACGCCGCGUGAGGGAUGGAGGUCUUCGGGUUGUGAACCUCUUUCGCUCAUGGUCAAGCCGCAACAAUGGUUGUGGUGAGGGUAGUGGGUAAAGAAGCGCCGGCUAACUACGUG
rnacentral:rRNA from 1 species